AACUUUCAACAACGGAUCUCUUGGCUCUCGCAUCGAUGAAGAACGCAGCGAAUUGCGAUAAGUAAUGUGAAUUGCAGAAUUCAGUGAAUCAUCGAAUCUUUGAACGCAGCUUGCGCUCUCUGGUAUUCCGGAGAGCAUGCCUGUUUCAGUGUC
rnacentral:rRNA from 1 species